rnacentral:rRNA from 1 species
UGGGGAAUAUUGCACAAUGGAGGAAACUCUGAUGCAGCCAUGCCGCGUGUGUGAAGAAGGCUUUCGGGUUGUAAAGCACUUUCAGCGAGGAGGAAAGGGCGUAGAUUAAUACUCUGCGCCUGUGACGUUACUCGCAGAAGAAGCACCGGCUAACUCCGUGCCAGCAGCCGCGGUAAUACGGAGGGUGCAAGCGUUAAUCGGAAUUACUGGGCGUAAAGCGCGCGUAGGUGGUUAAUCAAGUCAGAUGUGAAAGCCCAGGGCUCAACCUUGGAACUGCAUUUGAAACUGGUUGACUAGAGUUUUGUAGAGGGUGGUAGAAUUUCAGGUGUAGCGGUGAAAUGCGUAGAGAUCUGAAGGAAUACCAGUGGCGAAGGCGGCCACCUGGACAAAGACUGACACUGAGGCGCGAAGGCGUGGGGAGCAAACGGG